UGCGUCGUCAUUCGUACCGCCCCUUUACGGAAGUUGCAAUUUAUGAAUGGGAGAGUUUCUGAAGUGCCGUCUCGCUGUUCUGCUGCUGUGUGUAGGCUGCCCCUGGCUUUGAGUUUGUCAACAAACAAUCCACUGCAUGUAAUGGUCCGGAGAUUGGGCAUAGUAUUAGAUUACUACAGAAGUUGCCAUUUAUGAACGGGAGCGUUUUGGAAGUGCCGUCUUUCUGUUCUGCUGCUGUGCGGAGGCUGCCCUUGGCUUUGAGCUCGUCAACAAACAAUCCACUGCAUGUUAUGGUCCGAGACCGUGCAUAGCACCACAUUAUGAACAUCAUCUGAUGGAGUGAAAGGCACAAGGGUUUCAUCUUUA